UCCACGCCCUAAACGAUGCUGACUAGUUGUUCGGGAUUUACAUCCUGAGUAACGUAGCUAACGCGUGAAGUCAGCCGCCUGGGGAGUACGGUCGCAAGAUUAAAACUCAAAGGAAUUGACGGGGACCCGCACAAGCGGUGGAUGAUGUGGAUUAAUUCGAUGCAACGCGAAAAACCUUACCUACCCUUGACAUGUCACUAACGAAGUAGAGAUACAUUAGGUGCUCGUAAGAGAAAGUGAACACAGGUGCUGCAUGGCUGUCGUCAGCUCGUGUCGUGAGAUGUUGGGUUAAGUCCCGCAACGAGCGCAACCCUUGUCUUUAGUUGCUACGCAAGAGCACUCUAAAGAGACUGCCGGUGACAAACCGGAGGAAGGUGGGGAUGACGUCAAGUCCUCAUGGCCCUUAUGGGUAGGGCUUCACACGUCAUACAAUGGUGCAUACAGAGGGUUGCCAACCCGCGAGGGGGAGCUAAUCUCAGAAAAUGCAUCGUAGUCCGGAUCGUAGUCUGCAACUCGACUACGUGAAGCUGGAAUCGCUAGUAAUCGCGGAUCAGAAUGUCGCGGUGAAUACGUUCCCGGGUCUUGUACACACCGCCCGUCAUACCAUGGGAGUGGGUUUUGCCAGAAGCCG
rnacentral:rRNA from 1 species